rnacentral:rRNA from 1 species
GGCUGAUUAGGUAGUUGGCGGGGUAACGGCCCACCAAGCCGACGAUCAGUAACUGGUGUGAGAGCACGACCAGUCACACGGGCACUGAGACACGGGCCCGACUCCUACGGGAGGCAGCAGUAAGGAGUAUUGGUCAAUGGACGCAAGUCUGAACCAGCCAUGCCGCGUGGAGGAUGAAGGCCCUCUGGGUUGUAAACUUCUUUUAUUAGGGAAGAAACCGGUGUUUUCUAACGCCGUUGACGGUACCUGAUGAAUAAGCACCGGCUAACUCCGUGCCAGCAGCCGCGGUAAUACGGAGGGCGCAAGCGUUGUUCGGAAUCACUGGGCGUAAAGCGCGUGUAGGCGGCUUGGCAAGUCGGGUGUGAAAGCCCGGAGCUCAACUCCGGAACUGCACUCGAAACUGCCUCGCUCGAGUCCCGGAGAGGGUGGUGGAAUUCCCGGUGUAGAGGUGAAAUUCGUAGAUAUCGGGAGGAACACCAGUGGCGAAGGCGGCCACCUGGACGGUGACUGACGCUGAGACGCGAAAGCGUGGGGAGCA